CAAGAAGAGACCCUAACCGGUCCUCCUCAACCCUGCCCAUCCGUACCUUUUUUUGUUUGUUCCCUCGGCGGGCGCUCCGCGGGCCCGCCGGCGGGAAGAUCAAACAAACCCUUUGCAAACAAGCAUAUCAAAAAUCUGAUACAAACAUAAAUUGUCA
rnacentral:misc_RNA from 1 species